GACGGAGGAUGCAAGCGUUAUCCGGAAUUAUUGGGCGUAAAGCGUCCGCAGGUGGACAUACAAGUCUGCUGUCAAAGUGCAGAGCUUAACUCUGUAACGGCGGUGGAAACUGUAGGUCUUGAGUAUGGUAGGGGUAGAGGGAAUUCCCGGUGUAGCGGUGAAAUGCGUAGAUAUCGGGAAGAACACCAGUGGCGAAAGCGCUCUACUGGGCCAUAACUGACACUGAGGGACGAAAGCUAGGGGAGCGAAAGGG
rnacentral:rRNA from 1 species